UUUUUUUAAAGGGGGUAAAGGAACACAAAUGGGUUUCAAGGCAAUUUUCAUGGCAAGAAGCGCAUACAUACGGCGUACGUUCCACGGGCGCCAUCCCCACCGUCUAAAGGCCAAACAACGAAAACCAACGGCGGGCAGGUACCGGCGGGGAGGUCAGGAGGCGCCCCGCGAGCUCUCUCCGCCGCCCCCCGCCUUCCCCCGGGGUCCACCCACCCCCCCCCCCCGGGCCUGGCCCCGCUUUCGCGUCCGCGACCACGCCAACUAGUUCUGGCGCCGCCCGAGGAGAAAGAAGUCCUCCCGGGGUGACACGCCGCAGCUGGGACCGCGACCACCCGCACCGGGGGCAGGGGGAGGGACCGCCUCGCCCGCGCGCCGCGCGCCACCCGGGGGCUCCCCGCGCGGACGGCCUCGAGCUCGCCCGCCCCGCCCCGCAGGGCCCCGCCCCCCACCCCGCGGCCCAGACGCGGCCCGGGCGGCCGGUCCCACGCGCCCCGCGACCCUUUGUGACGCCCGCGGCCCGCACAGGCCCUGCGGCCCGCGGGCGGCCGGCAUCCCCGCGUCCAGGCGCGGCCCGGCCCGGCCCACCUUGAUGCGGUUCAGGACCCCGCUGUUCUCCAGCGUCUGCACCAGCAGGUCUCAAGAGAAACGUGGUCAACAGGAAAGAACCAUCAAUCAUAGGCCCCAACAAGGAAAACUGCACUGCAUCGUCUAGAAAAAAUCAGCCUCUGCUGUAGUUCAGCCAGUGAGAAAUCAUCACCACCCUGAACUCCUGCUUUUCUCCAGAGGACUUUGGUUCAAAACACCCCCUCCCAAUCCCCCCACUUCUCCACAAAAUAACGUUCCGUCCUUUGUUUGGAGGACUUACUAUGCUUUUGCCGAGGUUUGCGUGUCCUAAAUUGCAAUUCUCUGUUAUUCCCAAAGAAACCCGUUUUUGCUGGUGAAAAUAA